GCCAGAUAAGGGAAGCAGGCCUCCGAAGCCAGCAGUGGCAACCCACUUGGGUCCCUUUCAAUGCUGUGGAAGCGUUGUUCUUUCACUCUUCUCAAUAAAUCUUGCUGCUGCUCACUCUUUGGGUCUGCCCCGCUGUUAUGAGCUGUAACACUCACAGCCAGUGUCUGCAGUUUCACUCCUGAAGCCAGCAAGACCACAAACCCACAGGGCGGGACAAACAACUCCGGACAGGAGGAAUGAACAACUCUGGACGCGCCACUUCUAUGAACUUUUAUGAACUGUAACACUCACCGCAAAGGUCUGCAGCUUCACCCCUGAGGCCAGGGAGACCACGAACCCACCGGAAGGAAUGAACAACUCCAGACGCACUGCCUUUAAGAGCUGUAACACUUACCACGGAUGUCUGCAGCUUCACUCCUGAAGUCAGCGAGACCACAAACCCAACAGAAGGAAGAAACUCCCGACACAUCUGAACAUCUGAAGGAACAAACUCUGGACACACCAUCUUUAAGAACUGUAACACUCACCGUGAGGGUCAACCGCUUCAUUCUUGAAGUCAGCCAGACCAAGAACCCACCAAUUCCGUCUAUCUGAAUCAUGUUAUUGGACCAUGAGAGCAAGCAGCUGGAUCUCAUUCUGUCCAGGGUUUCAUCAUUUUUGGCCAUGCUGGCCUUGAACGCCUAACCUCAAAUGAUCCACCUGCCUUGGCCUCCUGAAGUUCUGGGAGUUAUAGGCAUGAGUCACCAUGCCUGGCACCACAUAAAAUUAUUUUGUCAUUAACAUUACAUUUUAAAAUACAAACGCUGUUUUCCAUAUUACUCAGGUCAGAUCUUUUACCCCACUUCUCUCAGUGAGAUUGCAUUAUUUAUUUCCAUCUCUAUAAUCUACUGUUCAUCCAUCUAUCUAUCCAUCCCUCAAUUUAGUUUUUUCACUACAUUCUGCAUUUGAUUCUUUUGAGGGUGUAUGCUUGUGUUUGUGCGUGGAAGUGGGGGUGUGUGUGUGUGUGUGUGUUCAAAAAGGUCUACAGUUUCCUUUUUCUGUAAUAUCUGUGUCUGCUGUUGGUAUUAGGGUAAUGCUGAACUCAUAGAGUAUGUGAAAAGUUUUCUACAUUCUUUGAUUUUUCUGAAAGAAAUUGUGCAGAAUUCAUAUUAUUUCUUUCUUAAAUGCUCAAGUGUUUAUUAAAAUUUACCAGUAAAA
rnacentral:lncRNA from 1 species